GUGAUGCAAAGUUCACAUGUCUGAGCACACAUAAGGGACUCUGUGAAUAUGUGUGUAUUUGUUGUGUGCAUGCCCGCAGAAUGGGAUACAGAGACUCACUCUAUUCAUCAGGGAUUUGUUUUAAUCAGGAAUUGGCAGGCAUGGGAAGAGCACGCUGUCCAGGGUCGGCAAGGCCUGGAAAUGUCAGAGCAUCAGAAUACUGAAAAUAAAAGACAUGGUCAGUACUCAUACAUAGACAUGACACACACAUAUACACACAUACGCAGACUCACACAUGUCAACAGCUGAAUGAAAAAUGUCUUUCAUUCCUGGAAGCAGGAGUCAUAUCACUUUCUCCAAAGCAUGUCUUUUUCUAUGCAAUGGUGUGCUUUAGGUGCAAGAACACUCGAGAAGCGGCAAAGAUAAAGUUAAACAAAUCCAAGUGUUAUAAUUCUGCAUUAUGCAUAUGUUUUGACUUUUCAUCUUUUAUUCAGAGAGUAAGAUAACCAAAUAGAGUAAAGGAAGCCCAGCCAACCAGCUCAGUUUCAUGUGGGCAGAACCAGCAGGAAAUUGAAAGGGGAGAGAAGCCCCUUGCCAAAGCCGCCUCCACUUGCACUGGGAAGCCCACCACAGGCCACCACCUGGGCUGGGAGAUUUGUCAGCAGGCGUUGGCCUGUGACAGUCACACUUCCUGCUCCUCAGUCUGAGAUGCCCCAACCAGAUGGCGGAGGCCCGAUGGGGAAGGAGCAGCCUCCACGGAGGCCCGCCUGGUUUUCCAGCCUUGGACUUGCAGCCGGGACAUGAGGGCUCCCUCCUACUCUCCCACCCCUCCUGCUGGUGAAGCAAGCCCCUCCUACUCAGAAGGGAGCUUUCUCUGCCCUGGAAGAUGCUUGGAAACUUGGCUUCCAGACGUGCAGGCGCCAGGGGCCUGUCCACUCCUCCUCCCCCUUCUCCUGGACUCACUGACCUUCCUUCUGUGCCACAAACAGCCAGGUUCAUUCCCAACCCAGGGACCCUGUGUGACUGACCAUUCUCCUCCUGGAUGCUGUCCCCAGCCCUGUGCAUGGCUGCCCCUUCUCACCUUUCAGGGCUCUGCCAGGUGCCACCUCCUGGGUGAGCACUUCCCUGGCCACCCUGUCCCCAGGAGCCCUCUCCACCAAGGCACUUCCUAGCAUCUCACCCCAUUUCCUCUUCUCAAGAUCCCUCAUCACCAUCUGAAAUGAAUUUGAGCAUGUGUUGACUUGGGGAACAUAUCUCCCCCUCCUUACCUGUGUGUGAGCUCCAAGGAAAAUCAGUGUCCGACCUGACUUACGAACCUGUGUCCCCAGAGCCUACAGCGAUACCCAGCCCAGAGGUGCUGGCUGCACAUGAUGCUGAUGACUCCUAGGGUGAGCCUGGCAUCUGAGUCCUGGGUUCAAGUCCUGAUUCAGCUGUUCCCAGGCACCUGACUUUGGGAGAGAUGCCUCCUCUCUGGGUCAAGUUUUUUUCCUUUGUGGCAUGAACCUAUAUUCCAAUAUCCAUCAGUCACGACUGCUGGGGCUCAAAGACCAAGGUGACAUAUGUCAAGGUGCUUGGCCAACUCAGAGAGUUGUGCAAAGAGAAAUGACCACGUUAAGUUGCUGGCCCACGCCUGGGUAGAAGUCAGGGAAUGGGCUAAGGAAGAGCAUGGUGAUGGCCCGCCUGGCGGAAGUCUGCAGUGUGUGGGUGUGUGUGUGCGGAUGUGUUUGUGCAUGCGUGUUAUUAAUGUUGUUUAAUUGCCAUUCAGGCUCCAUAAAUAGUAGCUAAUUCUUCC
ensembl:lncRNA novel transcript